UACGUAGGGUGCGAGCGUUGUCCGGAAUUAUUGGGCGUAAAGAGCUCGUAGGCGGCUCGUCGCGUCUGCCGUGAAAACCCGCAGCUCAACUGCGGGCUUGCGGUUGAUACGGGCGGGCUGGAGUUCGGUAGGGGAGACUGGAAUUCCUGGUGUAGCGGUGAAAUGCGCAGAUAUCAGGAGGAACACCGGUGGCGAAGGCGGGUCUCUGGGCCGAUACUGACGCUGAGGAGCGAAAGCGUGGGGAGCGAACAGG
rnacentral:rRNA from 1 species